UACGUAGGGCGCAAGCGUUUGUCCGGAAUUAUUGGGCGUAAAGAGCUCGUAGGCGGUCUGUUACGUCCGCUGUGAAAACCCAGGGCUUAACCCUGGGCUUGCAGUGGAUACGGGUAGACUAGAGGCAGGUAGGGGAGAAUGGAAUUCCCGGUGUAGCGGUGAAAUGCGCAGAUAUCAGGAGGAACACCGGUGGCGAAGGCGGGUCUCUGGGCCGAUACUGACGCUGAGGAGCGAAAGCGUGGGGAGCGAACAGG
rnacentral:rRNA from 1 species